rnacentral:lncRNA from 1 species
AAUCUUCCUGGCUGAGAGAAGAUAUGAAUGUGCAUAUAUUUCUUUCCAAUACGUACGUACAGCAGCAACUUGCAGCACCUACCAUGCUAGUAUAUCAGAGAACGCUCUCAGACCAACCGCCAGCACCUCGCCUUAUCCAUUCAUGGAUGCUUCGCUUCCAUUCAUUUUUCUCGCCCUGCACUGCUUCCUCCUCGAUCUAUUCUAUCUUUCCACACAUCGAUGACCACCGCGCGCAGCUAGAUCAGGCGGCUCGAAGGGGACUAGAGAUCCAUCGCGCGCUCUCCGGUGAUGCUGCGCCCUCGGCAGCAGUGGAGACUUUUUGCUGCGGGCUGCAAGUCACCGUUGGCUGCCGUUCCAUGUCCGUGCAGCUCCGGUGAUCCCGGCUUCAAUUAAAAUCUUCCCAUGCCACCGGUGGAAGAUUUUUUCUAUUUUUGUUUUGCCCACACGGUUGUAGCUUUUUGAAUCGCUGGUAGCAGCUUUCUUCUUAACCGGUUGAAUCUUUUUUUAAUCACUUUUAGAUCCAGCUUUGGUCCAAAUAGAUGUGAUUUCUGCAAAAAAAUAUUCCAAAUCACCGGUUCCAGCUUACCAAACCACCGGUUGUAGCUUUUUAUUCAGCCGGUUGUAGCUUUUUUGGAUUUUUAGUGUCAAUUCAAAACCAAUGGUUGUAGCUUUUUUUCAUCUGAUUGAAUCUUUUUCAAUCACCGGUUCCAGCUUUUCGAAUCAUCGGUUCCAGCUUUUGCUCAGCUUAAUUCAUCUUCUUUGCUGGAACCAGGUCAUUUUUUGCUGGAGCCGGAUCUUUUUUUUGCUGGAGCCGGCAAAUGAUUUUGCUGUGACGAGUUUCUUGUUGCUUGAAAUUAUUUGCUACGAUCAGGAGGCGGCGACGCAUUUUUGCUGGAACCAUAUUAAUAUUUGCUGGAAUCGUGAUUUAAUUUGCUUCAAGCAAAUUACUGGGUUUGCUAGGUGCUCAAGUUGAUUUGCUGGAAACCUUUGUUUUUCUGUUGGAACCAAUUUUUGGUUCUGCUGCAACUACCCAACGGAGUUCUUUUUUGGGCUGAGAUGUGUUUUUUGGUGGAAUCAGGUGGUGCAGGUCGACUACGGCGUCGACGUUGUGCUGUGAUGGGCGGAGCCAGCGAGAGUUGCUGCGUCCGACGUUUGGCAAAGAUGCAUCCGUCGGGGGGUGGUGCUGAAACGAUGGGGGAUGAGGAGGGUGUGCAGCGACGACGAAUUGGAGCUGCGGAGAGAGGCGGCGAGCGGUGGAGAUCCGACUAGCGGCGGAGAUCCGGCGGGUCAAGUAGCUCUUCCAUGGCGCUCGCGUGAUUUGCAGAGUAGAGAACGGCGUGGUAGGGACGGAAGUGUCCAGAAUCUGACGGUUAAAAGAGUUUUAAUCAGACGUACAGGAUACGACCGGCCCAAAUUUGGGCCGGCGCACCGGCGCCUAGUACUGGCCUAAAAAAUAAAUAACCUUCUGAAUUUAUUUUGGUCGCAGGACAUGGUCACAUAUUAAUUAAGCAAUCAACCGAAAUGGCUGACAUGGUGACAUGCAUCGGCUAGAAAGAGCAGCAUCUCGAGGAAACGCUGGUGGGUUCUCCGCCGGACACGAGGAUGGACUGCCCCUCUCCGACGGCGCCGGCACCGGAAUCAUCCGUGGACGACAGCGCCUUCUUGCCGACCACCCGGUAGAUCUCGGCGAGGACGGUCUGGAAGGCCUUGUCGACGUUGGUGGCGUCGAGCGCGGAGGUCUCGAUGAAGGAGAGGCCUUCCCACUCGGCGAAGCCCGCGGCCUUGUCGGUGGCGACGGAGCGGAGGUGGCGGAGGUCGGUCUUGUUGCCGAUGAGCAUGAUGACGAUGUUGGAGUCGGCGUGGUCGCGCAGCUCCUU